rnacentral:tmRNA from 1 species
GGGGCCGAUUAGGAUUCGACGCCGGUAACAAAACUCGAGGGGCAUGCCGAGUUGGUAACAGAACUCGUAAAUAAACUGUUGCAAAAAUCCAUAAUUGCCAAUGAUGACAAUUACGGUGCUCAACUAGCUGCGUAAGCAGCCUAGUCGCACUUCUGGUAGCUUCGGCUCCAGCAAUCAUUAGGGGAUGUCUGUAAACCCGAAAUGAUUGUCAUGCAGAACAGAAUCGCCGCGUAGUACGUUGUGGACGUAACGGCUAAAAAUUACACAACUCGCCCAAAGCACCCUGCCCGUCGGGCGGCCAAGGGUUAACUCAGUAGACACGGCUAAGCAUGUAGAACCAACAGCGGAGUACUGGCGGACGGGGGUUCAAAUCCCCCCGGCUCCACCA